AUUGAACGCUGGCGGCAGGCCUAACACAUGCAAGUCGAGCGGAUGAGAGGAGCUUGCUCCUUGAUUUAGCGGCGGACGGGUGAGUAAUGCCUAGGAAUCUGCCUGGUAGUGGGGGAUAACGUUCCGAAAGGAACGCUAAUACCGCAUACGUCCUACGGGAGAAAGCAGGGGACCUUCGGGCCUUGCGCUAUCAGAUGAGCCUAGGUCGGAUUAGCUAGUUGGUGAGGUAAUGGCUCACCAAGGCGACGAUCCGUAACUGGUCUGAGAGGAUGAUCAGUCACACUGGAACUGAGACACGGUCCAGACUCCUACGGGAGGCAGCAGUGGGGAAUAUUGGACAAUGGGCGAAAGCCUGAUCCAGCCAUGCCGCGUGUGUGAAGAAGGUCUUCGGAUUGUAAAGCACUUUAAGUUGGGAGGAAGGGCAGUAAGUUAAUACCUUGCUGUUUUGACGUUACCGACAGAAUAAGCACCGGCUAACUUCGUGCCAGCCGCCGCGGUAACAC
rnacentral:rRNA from 1 species